UGAGUGACACUGAGAGAUGAUGAUGAUGAUGAUGAUGAAGGAGUGAGUGACGUGCUGGCUGAGUGACACUGAUCGAUGAUGAUGAUGAUGAUGAUGAUGAUGAAGGAGUGUCAGUCUGACGUGCUGGCUGAGUGACACUGAGAGAUGAUGAUGAUGAUGAUGAUGAAGGAGUGUCAGUCUGACGUGCUGGCUGAGUGACACUGAGCGAUGAUGAUGAUGAUGAUGAUGAAGGAGUGUCAGUCUGACGUGCUGGCUGAGUGACACUGAGAGAUGAUGAUGAUGAUGAUGAAGGAGUGUCAGUCUGACGUGCUGGCUGAGUGUUUCCAGGCGGUCAGCCUGCAGACCAGCUUGCCCUGUCAGUGUCCAGCCCCUGCAUGACCUGUCCUGGACUGACCCCUGUGUUGUCUUGCCUGCAGGACACAGUGAGGUGGACGUGGAAGGGGCUGAGUUGGUGAGUGCUGGGAGAGCUCCUGUGGUCUGUGGUCUCCUGUGGGCUCCUGUAGGCUCCUGUGGGCUCUUGUAGACUCCAGUGGGCUCCUGCGGGCUCCUGCGGGCUCCAGUGGGCUCCUGCGGGCUCCUGUAGACUCCAUUGGGCUCCUGUAGGCUCCCGCGGGCUCCUGUAGGCUCCUGUAGACUCCAGUGGGCUCCUGUAGGCUCCUGUAGGCUCCUGCGGACUCCUGCGGACUCCUGUAGGCUCCUGUAGGCUCCUGUGGGCUCCUGUAGGCUCCUGUGGGCUCCUGUAGACUCCUGUAGCACACGCCCUCUGUCAUGUUAACUGCUGUGCUCUCCUUGCAGGACCCAGGUCAUGUGGUACACAGCCUCUCAGCUCUACACCAACGUCACAGUGGAGUUCCUGCCUGUCUACACCCCCUCGCAGGAAGAGCGGGAGAGCCCCGCCCUCUUCGCGGACAACGUGCGGAAGGUCAUGGCCAGGUGAGUGGCCGCGGGGCGCGUGGGCUGACCUGGGAUUGAAGCGUCUUGGGCUCGGUCUGCGUCCGGAGCUCUUAACAGAGCCUCUGAGCCUCACUAUCGCUCUGGUGCAGGACCCGCAGGCCCGGGGCUUCACGCUAAAUUUAAGAACGUAAAGCAAUACCCAAACAUCCUCCUUCCUAGUUGC
rnacentral:lncRNA from 1 species